rnacentral:rRNA from 1 species
GACGAACGCUGGCGGCGCGCCUAACACAUGCAAGUCGAACGAGCGAGAGAGAGCUUGCUUUCUCAAGCGAGUGGCGAACGGGUGAGUAACGCGUGAGGAACCUGCCUCAAAGAGGGGGACAACAGUUGGAAACGACUGCUAAUACCGCAUAAGCCCACGACCCGGCAUCGGGUUGAGGGAAAAGGAGCAAUCCGCUUUGAGAUGGCCUCGCGUCCGAUUGGCUAGUUGGUGAGGUAACGGCCCACCAAGGCAAUGAUGGGUAGCCGGCCUGAGAGGGUGAACGGCCACAAGGGGACUGAGACACGGCCCUU